rnacentral:rRNA from 1 species
UACGUAGGGGGCUAGCGUUGUCCGGAUUUAUUGGGCGUAAAGAGCGUGUAGUCGGCUAUGCAGGUCCGCUGUGAAAACUCGAGGCUCAACCUCGAGACGUCGGUGGAAACCGCAUGGCUAGAGUCCGGAAGAGGAGAGUGGAAUUCCCGGUGUAGCGGUGAAAUGCGCAGAUAUCGGGAAGAACACCCGUGGCGAAGGCGGCUCUCUGGGACGGUACUGACGCUGAGACGCGAAAGCGUGGGGAGCGAACAGG